rnacentral:rRNA from 1 species
AUUGAACGCUGGCGGCAGGCCUAACACAUGCAAGUCGAACGAGUGGCGGACGGGUGAGUAAUGUCUGGGAAACUGCCCGAUGGAGGGGGAUAACUACUGGCAACAGUAGCUAAUACCGCAUACCAUCGGAUGUGCCCAGAGGGGAUUAGCUAGUAGGUGGGGUAACGGCUCACCUCGGCGACGAUCCCUAGCUGGUCUGAGAGGAUGACCAGCCCCACUGGAACCGAGCCACGGUCCAGACUCCUACGGGAGGCAGCAGUGGGGAAUAGUGCACAAGGGGCGGAAUCCUGAUGCAGCCAUGCCGCGUGUAGGAAGAAGGCCUUCGGGUUGUAAAGUACUUUCAGCGAGGAGGCGUUACUCGCAGAAGAAGCACCGGCUAACUCCGUGCGAGCAGCCGCGGUAAUUC